CUUUGCGGCAUGUAGGAAGGGGGGAGAAGUCAGCGCGGGGGAACGGGGGGAAGGAGAGUUAUUUAUAUGGGAAGCCAGGUGCAACCCGCACCCCUGGUCCCGGCGGCAUGCUAAUUUGGUCAAAGCUCUUUUUUUUUUUUUUUUUCCCUGGCUGCCGCUUCCAAGUGAAUUAGACAUCCUGCCGAGGAUGAUCUUAUCAAAUUAAUGUAAUCAGACUGCCGUUUCGGGUCCCCAGGAUGAACGUUUGGCCUUCUUGGUAGUUGCGGUAGGCGAGGAUUGCGGAGGAAGGAAGCUUUGGGGGCGGGGGGAGGGAGAACGGGCUAGGAGAUGGAAAAGAAAGCAGAGAAAUUCUGGCCCUGAAAACGUCCGCCCAAUAAAUUACAAACGGUCUAGAAGAGAUAAAAUGCCUCCGAGAGAGAAAGCACCACAGUAAAUAUGUUAGUGGUUUCAUUAGAAGAAAAAAAGAGGGGAAGGAAACUUGGCGCCGCGUUGAGGCGCAUUAAUUCAUUUCUCCUGUCGCCGUCUCUGACUUCGCUUUUCGGUGCAUGCCGGGGGUGGGAGGGCUCGGGGCUGCCUGCAAACCUUUCGUGCAUCAUGUAUCGCUGAGUCCAAGUGUAGGGGCAGCCGGAGGCAGGACAGCCCCCAGCUGAGUCCUCAGACGGAGGUGAGAGAGUCAGGGAAAAGGAGCGGGGGUAGGAACAGGGUUGGAGUAGGUGACUCACUCGUGUUGUCAGCAGCAGCGACCCGAUCUCUGUGGGUAAAGGCACGGGGGAGGAAGUGCUGAGACGCUGGAGCUUGAGAAGGCCCACAAGAACCUGGAGGAGGAUGCAAGCAGGACAACUGACCUAAACUGACCAAAAAAAUAUUCCGUGCUGCCUGACAUUGUUCUCACCAAUACAAUCAGGGAGUUGACUUGGAGACUGCCAUUGCUGGCAAUUCAUUGCUGGUGAACAGCUGUUUACACAGCAUUGGAUUUCAAGUCUGAAGAAAUAAAAAACAGGUACUGCUUUCUGAAAUGAAGUACACAUUUGUAAAAAGGUAAAAUAAGUGGCAUGUAAGAAUGAAAUGCUCGUGUUCUCAGUAGCAGUGACUGAUAUUUUGGAAAUGAUCUCUCAUAACCAGAAAGAGUCAAAUGUUCAAAUUGUGUAAUAAGACUAGAAAAUAAUAGUAAGAAAUGUUAUUUAUGCAAAAGGAUUAUAGUUCCUUAGGAAAUUCUUAAGUUAGAGUUCUUCACAGAACAUAGCAUUCUGCACAUGCUCCUAUUUAUCUCACUCUUUCAGUUCUACAAAGAAAUGGCCAUUUUCAUUAAUGUAAUACAAUGAAAAUAAUCACAAUUCAGCUCACAUUAACAAUAUGGUAAAAUAUUCUGAAGCAAUUGAUUGAGUCUAUAAUUAUGGUUGUUCAGGACUUCUGUAGAUAAAUUCUAUGCUUUUACAUCUCGCAACACAGAGACUCAGUUUAAAUAGAUAGUCCGGAUAAAACAUUUGUGUCCAUGUACCUUGGAGCUAACCCACAAAAGCGAUGUCAAAUUUUGGUUUUGGUGCGUUAAGACUUAAUCCCCUCUUCCCCCCCUCAAAUAUGUAGCAUUUGAACAACACUGUGACUCUUUCAGUAAAAUCUUACUUGUGUAUACACGUAUAUUUAACAUAUUUGACUCUAGAUAUUGCCUAGGAUUUAGGAAUCUGAGUUAUUUUGCAUUAUUUAAAAACAAAAAGCUUUCUGACUUCUCUCAGUGGACUGGCAUCUCUUUAUACAAUUUGAUUUUCUUUUUCAUUUAUUUAUUUAUUUAUUUUUCUGCUAAGCAAAACCUGAGUCUGAUCUUUAUUUUUUAGUUUUAACAAAUAAUUUGCUAGUCUAAUCAGUUUUGUUCAUUCAAUAAAAUAUUGAGUUACUUCACAUGACUAUGUGCAUCAUAGAAAGAUUUUUUAAUGACUGUCCAGAAUGGUUAAAUGAAAUAAAUUUAUUGCCAGACUUCUGUUAGUAAAAAGGUGUGUGUGUGUGUGUGUGUGUGUGUGUGUAAAAACAACAGCAGUUUGUGCACUUUUUAUUUUGAAAUAAUAUGAAAUAGCGACAUGAAAAACUCAUAGCCCAGGAAAUGUUUCCUACUGUGAAAUCACACACGAAAAAAUCUUAAAUAACAGCCAUUUGCAGUGUAAGUAUGACAGUUAAACCACAGAAGAGGAACUGGAGUGGAAUGAUCUGUUGUUUUAUGUUGUUUUAAAUAAUAAGUGAAUUAUGCUGCUCUUAAUAGAAUAAAUCAACAACAAGAAAAAAGCCAGCCAUAUAAUAUCCUGCCAUGAAAAGCAGGACAUUUUGUUGUAAGCUGUAAUGUGUAUGAAUUUUAAGACAUCUGUGCACUUGGAAGAACGGGGUAAGAAGACAGCUCUGGCAGCAAUGACGCUGGUAAGUAUGAUAAAUCCUUUUCAACAUCAGCCACAUGUAAAAAACUUCCUGUUGGCUGAUCACUGAUGCAAACAAGUUUUAAAAUGGAAUAAUUCUGCUAUGGAAACAAAAAUAAAUAAAUAAAUGCAGUCUAGAAGAAGCUGAAAACCCUUUUUCCAAAGCAGAACACUUUGUUGCUUGAACAAUACUUAAUCAUCCUUUUUUUUUUUUUUUUUUUUUUUUUUUUUUUUUAUUUAUUUAAAAUAUCUUCUGUGGUAAAAAAGUAUCUGAAGAAACGCGAAUACUGACUUCUAAACAUUUGCUGAAUUUUAUAGAGUUAGAAACAAAGCAGAUUUGGAAUAGCAAGCUUGUUCAUUUAACUCUUUCUAUGGGGGACCUUGCAUACUGUUUGUUAUUUAUUUACUAAAUUAUUUAUUAUUUAUAUUAGAUAUAUAACAACUCUGUAGAAAAGAUUUGGUGAUAAAAAUUACAGAUCUUUUCAUUACUAGCUAACUUUAGACAGAAUAGUGUAAUUUAUAACAGAAUAAAGCACAACAUUUUUCACAAUGUUUUCAUAGUGGAAUCAAAAAUGUACUGAAAAGGCCAUAUCAUUUAUACAUAUACAAUCUAUUCAAUCUCUCAUUUAAGAAGAGUGCUAAUUUUUUAUUUAACCUUUGGCAUUAUGGAAUGAGUGGCUCACUGCUGCUAAAGCUAGCUCAAAGUUGAUGGGUCCCCUGUGCAGCCGGAAAAGAGCAUGCUGUUAAUGAGUCUCUGCUGCCUACACCUUUAUUAUCAAACUGAUAUGUCCCAACCAGUAAUGAUAGUAGCAGCCAAGAGUUUACUGGUUUGUUGGGAAUGCUGCCGAGCAUGAACAACUCAGUUACUCUUUAUAGAAGUCUCAUACCGUUUUCAAGUGCUGAAUGAGAAUUAAGGGGUAGUGAGUUGGCUCUUACAAUAUCAGAACUGUUAGCAUGUUCAGCAUAUCAGUGAAUGGUGCCUGCCACUACUUUUACAGAACUAUCACUACAGAGCAAGCUGAGGAAUCACUAAAGCUUCCUUUAACAUGAUAGCAUACUUAUAAAAUAGUAUAGUUGCAAACAGUACACUUAUAGCUAGUCUACAGCAAUUUAGGAGGAAAGCAGCUUGGCAAGGAUAUUGUAUUUGUCACUAACAUUAAACUGGAGAGUAUGGUUUAUGGCCAAUUAUCUCCAUUAUUAUUGUUUUUCAGGAAAGCUAUGAUGCUCUGGGACAGAAUCAUCUGAAUGCCAACCAUCUGCACUGCAUAUCAAGUCUCAAAAUGCCUAUGAAUCAAGAUAAGAACAUGACUUUACAUGAGACCCAUUUGUACUUUGUGUGCGAGUCACUGAAGGUGCAGAUCACAGAAACUAUGCAAAUUCCAAGGUCAAGUGAGUUUUUACAGCAAUCAAAAUGGGAAAUGUGAUAUAGCUGUUUGAAUGACAUCAUAACUAUAGAAAAGGAUUUCUAAUCUGGAAUGCAUUUGGAAAGAAGUUGAAGAGGUAAGGUCAGCUGGCAGCUCUCUACUCCAGGAAAUGAUGAUGAAGCAAAUGGUGAAUCAGUGAUGGUAGAGGAGAAUUGAGCUGAGGAGCAUCUGUACUAAUGGAACAUAAUGUUGCAUAGUUGUUGUGUUUGAAUGAGUGCUUCAGAUGAUUGUACACUGAAAUUUUCUUCAUAUUCCUUGUGAUGAUAUCCACUCUGGAAGGAAAAAUAACUUUUCUCUCUAUAAAGGCAAAAGAAACAUUAAGUGUCAUAUUCAUAUUUCAGAGAUAAAUUUUGAAGAAGCAUAAACCUUCAAAAGAACUGUAUGACCCAGUCUGCACCUUGGCAUUUCAGAGAUGUGUAAAUCAUCGAUGAAACCACCAAUUCAAAUCCAGAUGCCUUGCUUUUCAGUUUGAAUGAACAAAAGGAAAAUAAAUGGUGUGCUAAUAUUGGAAAGCCAGCUACAAAGAAAAAUACAAUGGAUAUUAGAAAGGAUCUUUGACAAGUGAAGAAGAAUGGCAGUGUUAUAAAUUGCAUCUAAUUUUCAGAAACAUGAGUAAACAGAGCCUUCGGCUUGAUUUCUGGAAUGAACUGGAAUAAUUCAUAUUGACUUAAUUCAGAAGGACUGUGGGGACUUCAUUACAUAAUGCAGAGAUACUCUGAAAUCUCUAAGACCAAAAAAAGUCCUACUGCAGCAUGACAAGUUCUUACAAUGAAAAAUACCAAAAAUAGUCAAAGAGAACCUCAAGAAUAUAUAUUCACCAUUAAAUUUCAAAGAUUAAGAUUUCUUGUUUUAAUAGUCCCCAAGAGCAAUGAAAUUUAAUUGUACAUAAUGGAAUUAACUGUGAUUCUAAAAUAUAUCAGUUUACCAUCUUUUCCAUGGUUUGCAUCUAUCCCCUCUUUAAAACAGACAGGCUUUUCUGAAAUAUCUGUAAGAUUUAUGCUAAAUAAGGUUUUUGAGUAGGGAUCCAAUUUUCCUGAUAGUUCAAAAGGAUCAUGACAUAGAUAAGAUUGAAUGAAGUGUAAUUAAUAUUGAUGUUCUUCAUUACAGGGCCCAAAAUCUAGAGCUUGUGUUGCUCACAGAGAAGGGCAUGCCCUUCAGAAAGAGGCACUUCGAUUUUAUAAUGGUGGAAAUGAAGUGACAGAAGGGACACAGUAGCAAAGAAUCACAUACAGAGGCAAGAGAAUGACAGAGAAGCAACCUCUAAACUGCUGUAACUAUGGCAGUUUAUGUCAGACAAGAAUUAAACUGAUAGCUAUAAGGAAUAUAUUCCACUAUUGAAACUGAAAACAGUUAAGAAGAGUUGCAUUUGAGUUGAAGGACCAAAAAAAUAGAUAAAUAAAUAAAUAAAAAUGGUGACCAUGCAGCACCUGAUGUUUACUGACAGGAGAGGCAAGUAGAAAGAAUAAUCGGUGGAAGAGAUGCAGUUGUGCAUAUAUCAGUUUCCAUCAGUUUCCAUUCCAUUUCUAGGACAAAUUACUGCCUGAAGCAGAUGUACGUAGGGUUGUUAACUAGUUUCUUUAAUUGGUUGCUUUACACAUAGUCAGAGAAUAUUUUAAGCAGCAGAACAUUGCAACAAACUAAAGACUGCACUUGAAAAAUAAUCUAUGCUAUUUUUUUUCAGGCUGGUGAAACACAGAUUGCUUUCAGUUAUUUUUCUCGGCAGGACUUUUUUCUGUCCACAGCCUGUCAACUGGCAUAGUAUCCAGAUGGUUAUAAGGCUCUAGGGCACCUGUAUAAUUCACAUUAGAGUUUAACAGAAAUGUAGCGAGUAAUAUUUUUAUAUUUACAUACUCCUUCAUUCAAAGAAAACACAACUGCUACAUUUUCGCUCUGAUCAUUACCCUGUGGUACCCCACUUAGACAAUGUCUCCACUGCCUGCCAGUUUGUAGUAAUGUUGCUGCAUUUCUUUCUGACUGUUGUAGAAAGUCUUUGAACAAAUACUUCCCCUGUAGUCCAUACAAGAAGGCAGUCUACUGUAAUAAUUUUGAGGUACUUUUUGCACCACUCUUAUUUCCAGAAGAGGUGUUAUUUCUCAUCCAAACUGUAUCUCCCUGCCUUCCUGUUUGUUGUGCAUGUCAUCAUCUGCAUUGCCCUUUCAACAGUGAAUGAGAGAACAGCACUAAAAAAUCAGAAUUUCUUUAUUGAAAAUUGACAGUGUUAUUUGAAAUAAUUGAGUGGGUUUUUUUGUUUGUUUGUUGUUGUUGUUUAUGUGAGCAAUGGCGACUGGGCAUUUCAAAGUCAUGUGAUAAGAGUAGUGUGUACAUAACAAAAAAAUAAAAAAUAUUUUAGAUUUUUGUGAGUAUAUAUUUGCAGAAAAAAUUUUUCAGUCACUUCUCAGGUAAAAAAUGACAUUUUAGUUUAAAAAAAAAAAGUUGAUUAAGAAAGCAUGCAUUUAUCUCUAGGUGAUGUAUCAUUGAAGAAAUGUUUUAUGAUAUUAAAUAAAUCGUGUUGUAUUCCUUAAAGCACAUAGAAAACUUCUCUAAAUCAUAAAUUAUAAACUGGACAAAAUUAAUUAAUUAAUUAAUUAAUUAAUUAAAUGAAUAAAAUGCAAACAUGCAUGGAAAUAAUUGCAUUUAAAUUAAAUUAAAUUAAAUUGCAUUUAAUGAAACUUCCUGUCAGUGUUCACUUAGAUGUUAGAGGUGGUAUUUGGUUUCCAAAUCUGAUAGAAAUAUGUUAAUGUUAGGAGUUCUAAUUGCUUGAAAUCUUUUGUUACAAAAUGUUGUGCUGCCAUGAAUUACUCUUAUAAAUUUUGUUCUUUGUUGAAAUAAGAUCUCAUUUGGAAGGAUAUUGUGGUAGAUAUAAAAUGCAGAAAUUGAAUGCAGGAUUUUCACAUGUAACAAAUAUUCUUUAAAUAUAUCAGGAUAUAUGCAUUAAUAACUCAUACAUAUUUUGUUAUUUCUGUCUGAUUGAAUAGACACAACUUGUAUGAGCAUGAGAACUGUAUUAUGUAUUGAUCUUUUUAAUAAACAAAUUACAUGA